ACCGACUCUCGGAGAAUUUACAUUAAGAACCAAACGCUAGCGUAAGCUCUAGAUUACGUAGAGCAGAGAGAGUAUAAGAAUAAAGAAUUCUUCAAUGAAAGAACAAAAGGAAUUCUUAAAUCCGGGAACAUUUUACUUUACAGCAAAUUCGUAAGCUUUAAAUGUAAGAAACGCAGUCAUUUGUUUUCUGGAAUCGUCUAAACGGUUUGAGAAUCACUGUGACAUCAAUAAUGGAUCCUAACCAAGCUGAAGCUGAAGUUGCUGUAGUCGAAGAUUUUAAUGCCAAGGAAGAGGAAGACAAAUUAGUAAUUGUUAAUACAGAGGAAGUCGAAGAGCUUACUGUAACAAGCCCUCAAGAAGCGGUAAAACACGAACAAGUGAGGAAGAUGAGAGAUCGGUCGAUCGGAGUUGCAGUCGAUAAUUCCAGCAGCAGCAAGGCCGCGCUCAAGUGGGCGAUUGAUAAUCUUGUGGACAAAGAUGAUCGAGUGGUGAUUAUUCAUGUGUAUAAGGAUAAAUCUGAUCCUCCGCAGAAAAAACUUUGGGAAGACAAAGGGUCGCCCCUGAUUCCCCUGAGUGAGUUGAGAGAAGUUAAUUUGAUGAAACAGUAUGGAAUGACCCCUGAUCCGGAGGUUUUGGGCAUGCUGGAUACUGUAGCAAGGCAAAAACAGGCAAGGGUUGUGGCAAAAAUUUACUGGGGCGAUCCCAGAGAGAAGAUCUGCGAUGCUGUUGAGGAUCUUAAGCUUGACACCCUGGUAGUGGGCAGCAGGGGCCUGGGACUAAUCAAAAGGGUUUUACUUGGAAGCGUCAGCAACCACGUGGUGGCUAAUGCAAGUUGCCCUGUUACAGUGGUGAAAGGGACCGCACAAAAAGGAUAAAGAAAUGGAUUGAGCGCAUGUUCUAGCUGUUUUUAUAAGUCUCUUGUAAUUGUGUGUCUAUUGUAAUUUGUGUUAUCAGUUUGGCCAGUUUUUUUUUUUUUAAUUAAGUCAAGCUAUUGAGAUUGCAUAGGUUGUAAGGCACCUUAUUUCUUUCAUUGCAGUUUCCUCUGGUUUAUAUUUUCAAUGGUUUUUUAAAAGUCCCUACCAAAUGUUGGAUUUUUCUAGCUCAGUCUCAGUGUAUGGAGGAUGACUAAUAUCAGAUUUCAGUUUCUUUUGUAUGUUAAUGCUUUCAUUCCGUGUGUAAUUCCACGUUUUAUGUGGAAAAAUAAUUGCUUGGUGGGCCAACGUUUGGCUUAAAGAUAUCCCCGGAUGGAUAGGAUAAGGAGAAGUUUCAAAUAUUGAUCAUAUUUUGUGAUGGAUUGACUCUUGAGGGAUGGAAAGGAAGACAAUGAUGUUUCAUUGUUGACAAAAGAGGCAUGCAUAGUCCAAUAUCAAAAUAUCUAUCCUUACGAGGAAGUGAAUGGUACCAUUUGUUAUUGAGUUUAA